UUUCUUGCACCACCCGACCUACAUUUAUUAACAUUUAAAUAUUAGAAAAAAAAAUAAAAACUGACGGCUUGAACCUGCGGCUCGCCUGCAGCGAAGGUGCGGCUUGAACCUGCGGCUCGACGAGGCGACGCGCAGGUGCGGCUUGAACCUGCGGCUCGACGAGGGAACGCGCAGGUGCGCUGGCCUGCAGCGAAGCCCGCCGUGAGGUACUGCUGGCCUGCAGCGAAGCCCCCGUGGGGGUGCUAGAGCUGCAAGCGGCGGAGGCGCGGGGCUCGCUUCCGAUGAAGACGGAGGCGGCGGAGGCACAGGGCUUGGCGGAGGCGCGGGUCUUGGCAGAGGCGCGGGGCUUGCUGGAGCUGCAGGUGGAGGGGGCGGAGGGGACGAAGAACUUGGGAAAGGUAGAGAGAAAGAGAAAUGUAAGGUUAAAAUUUUAGAAAGUAAGGUUAAAAUUUCAAAUGGGUUUAGAAACUAAGGUUAAAAUUUUAUUAUUUUUAAAUGUAAAAAGACAAUAAAGUCUCCAAUAAUUAAUAUAAUGUAUAUAGAGUAAGUGAGGGUAAAUUGGUCUUUUUGCAUAGGGGUAGGUGAGUGCUGAAAAAAAAAGAGGGAACUUGUGGCGUGGUAAAUAAGGAGAUA
rnacentral:lncRNA from 1 species